AUUUUCAGUUGAAUGUGGACAAUCAUCGUAUUUCCCUUCUUACUCGUCCAUCUUCAGUACACAAAUCGAGAGGUUAUGAUUGUCUUAUAGAGGAGCUUUUGGGGGCAUAGUCCAUCCAUAGGAGCAACAGAUUAAUGGUUUGGAUUACCUGAAUGUGGGCUCAACUUGUCAGAUUUAAAAAUGUAUCCUAUGCAAAGAGCAUUGCCUCUCCGUAUGCUAGAAAUUUCACCGAAGCGAUAACAUCAGGCCUCUUUACAGCGCGCGCGCGCGCGCCCGCGCGCACACA